rnacentral:lncRNA from 1 species
AUAUCCCAGUUUGUCCCAGUUCCCUCCCAGUUUAUCCCAGUCCAUCCCAGUCCCUCCCAGUCCAUUCCCAGUAAAUCCCAGUAUAUCUCAAUCCCUUCCAGUCCAUUCCCAGUCCCUCCCAAUUUAUCCCAGUCCAUCCCAGUCCAUUCCCAAUCCCUCCCAGUCCGUCCCAGUCCCUCCCAGUUUAUCCCAGUCCCUCCCAGUCCGUCCCAGUUCCCUCCCAGUUCCCUCCCAGUCCCACCCUGGCCGCGGCCGCCAUGACCAGGAGGGCGGGGCCAAAGCUCAGCCAAUAGGGAGCGAGGAUUUCCAGCACCAGGGCGACGUCAUUGAGGAGAUCGGCCACGAACCUGGGAGAAAGGGGCGGGGCUUGUCCUUAUUCGGAGUUGUGGGCGUGGCCUGCCCAUAAAUGGCCACAGAAGGGCGGGGCUUGGGGAUUUGGCACCAUAUAUGGUAAUAGAGGGGUGGGGCAUAGGUGGGAGUGGCCAAAUAUGGAAAAAGGGGCGGAGAUUGAGGUGAGGGUGGGGCGUAAUGCCCUAUAUGACAAGGGUGGGGGCGUGGCCUGU